CAACUUUCAACAACGGAUCUCUUGGCUCUCGCAUCGAUGANNNNNNGAUUGCAGAAUUCAGUGAAUCAUCGAAUCUUUGAACGCACCUUGCGCCCCUUGGCAUUCCGAGGGGCACACCCGUUUGAGUGUCGUGA
rnacentral:rRNA from 1 species